rnacentral:rRNA from 1 species
AGUGAACGCUGGCGGUAGGCCUAACACAUGCAAGUCGAACGGCAGCACAGUAAGAGCUUGCUCUUACGGGUGGCGAGUGGCGUACGGGUGAGGAAUACAUCGGAAUCUACUCUUUCGUGGGGGAUAACGUAGGGAAACUUACGCUAAUACCGCAUACGCCCUACGGGGGAAAGCAGGGGAUCUUCGGACCUUGCGCGAUUGAAUGAGCCGAUGUCGGAUUAGCUAGUUGGCGGGGUAAAGGCCCACCAAGGCGACGAUGCGUAGCUGGUCUGAGAGGAUGAUCGGCCACACUGGAACGGGGAAGGGGUCCAGGCUCCUACGGGAGGGAGCAGUGGGGAAUGUUGGGCAAUGGGGGCAAGCCUGGUCCAGCCAUACCGCGUGGGUGAAGAAGGCCUUCGGGUUGUAAAGCCCGUUUGUUGGGAAAGAAAAGCAGCAGGUUAAUACCCCGCUGUUCUGACGGUACCCAAAGAAUAAGCACCGGCUAACUUCGUG